AAUCAGCUGCCAGCACUGCUAGAAUAAAGCAGGCAGAAGAAUGCGGAAGGACCAGACUGGCUGAGUGUUCUGGCCUUAACUUUUCUCCCAUGCUGGAUGUUUCCUGCCCUCAAACAUCAGAAUCCAAGUUCUUCAGCUUUUGAACUCUUGGACUUACAUCAGUGGUUUGCCACGGGCUUUCGGGCCUUCGGCCACAGACUGAAGGCUGCACUCUCAGCUUCCCUACUUUUGAGGUUUUGGGACUCAGACUGGCUUCCUUGCUCCUCAGCUUGCAGACGGCCUAUUGUGGAACUUUACCUUGUGAUCGUAUGCCCCCUGAGAGGUCUGGGAUAUUCACCCAUGGUCAAUCAAUGCUUAUGAGGCACAGCAAGAAUCAGUGUGGCAGAUAUUAAAGACUCAGGCUUUCCAGAAUUCCAAGAAGGAAAAUAGAGCAUAUAAAGUCUGAGACACUCUGCUCAAAUAUUGAACAUCAACAUCAGCAGAGUACUUGCAACUCUGCAUACUACUCUCUCCUUACAACCAUCUAGACAGUCCAGGAGAGUGGGUAACAGACUACGGCCUGUGGGCCAAAGCUCAUAGGCAGAAGGAACUUGCCCUGUUUCAGAUGAGGCUUUGGACUGUGGACUUUUGAGUUAAUGACGAAAUGAAUUAAGACUUUGGGGGACUGUUGACAAGGCAUGAUUGGUUUUUGAACAUGAAGAUAUGAGAUUUGAGAGGGACCAGGGCCAGAAUGAUAUGGUUUGGCUCUGUGUCCCCACCCAAAUCUCAUCUUGUAUCUCCCAUAAUUCCCAUGCGUUGUGGGAGGGACCUGGUGGGAGAUGAUUGAAUCAUGGAGUGGAUCUUUCCUGUGCUGUUCGGAUAAUGAAUGGGUUUCAUGAGGUCUGACGGUUUUAAAUAUGGGAGUUUCCCUGAACAAGCUCUAUUCUCUUGACUGUGGUCUUGUGAGAUGUGCCUUUUACCUUCCACCAUGAUUGUGAGGCCUCCCCAGCUACAUAGAACUGUGAUUCCAAUAAAGCUCUUUGUUUUGUAAAUUGCCCAGUCCUCGGGUAUGUAUUUAUCAGCAGCAUGUAAAUGGGCUAGUACACAUUUACAUACUGCUAUGUUUGUUUUUGUGCUGCAGUGGCAGAGUUGAG
rnacentral:lncRNA from 1 species